AGUGAACGUUAGCGGCACGCUUAACACAUGCAAGUCGCACGAGAAAGGGCUUCGGCCCCGGUAAAGUGGCGCACGGGUGCGUAACACGUAGGCAAUCUGCCCUUGGGUGGGGGAUAACAUUCCGAAAGGAAUGCUAAUACCGCGUAAGACCACGAUCGGUACGCCGAUUGGGGUCAAAGAUGGCCUCUUCAUGAAAGCUAUCGCCUGAGAAUGGGCCUGCGGCCCAUCAGCUAGUUGGUAGGGUAAUGGCCUACCAAGGAUAAGACGGGUAGCGGGUCUGAGAGGAUGAUCAGCCACACUGGAACUGAAACACUGUCCAGACUCCGACGGGAGGCAGCAGUGGGGAAUCUUGGUCAAUGGGCGAAAGCCUGAACCAGCGAUGCCGCGUGAGUGAUGAAGGCCUUCGGGUUGUAAAGCUCUGUGGGGAGAGAAGAAAACAUUCUGGGCGAAUAGGCCAGGAUCUUGACGGUAUCUCCUUAGCAAGCACCGGCUAACUCUGUGCCAGCCGCCGCGGUAAGAC
rnacentral:rRNA from 1 species